rnacentral:rRNA from 1 species
UACGUAGGGUGCAAGCGUUGUCCGGAAUUAUUGGGCGUAAAGAGCUCGUAGGCGGUCUGUCGCGUCGGAUGUGAAAAUCCAGGGCUCAACCCUGGACCUGCAUUCGAUACGGGCAGACUAGAGUUCGGUAGGGGAGACUGGAAUUCCUGGUGUAGCGGUGAAAUGCGCAGAUAUCAGGAGGAACACCAGUGGCGAAGGCGGGUCUCUGGGCCGAAACUGACGCUGAGGAGCGAAAGCGUGGGGAGCAAACAGG